rnacentral:rRNA from 1 species
CCUACGGGAGGCAGCAGUGGGGAAUCUUGCGCAAUGGGCGAAAGCCUGACGCAGCCAUGCCGCGUGAAUGAUGAAGGUCUUAGGAUUGUAAAAUUCUUUCACCGGGGACGAUAAUGACGGUACCCGGAGAAGAAGCCCCGGCUAACUUCGUGCCAGCAGCCGCGGUAAUACGAAGGGGGCUAGCGUUGCUCGGAAUUACUGGGCGUAAAGGGAGCGUAGGCGGAUAGUUUAGUCAGAGGUGAAAGCCCAGGGCUCAACCUUGGAAUUGCCUUUGAUACUGGCUAUCUUGAGUUUGGGAGAGGUGAGUGGAACUCCGAGUGUAGAGGUGAAAUUCGUAGAUAUUCGGAAGAACACCAGUGGCGAAGGCGACUCACUGGCCCAAUACUGACGCUGAGGCUCGAAAGCGUGGGGAGCAAACAGGAUUAGAUACCCUGGUAGUCCACGCCGUAAACGAUGAGUGCUAGUUGUCGGCAUGCAUGCAUGUCGGUGACGCAGCUACGCAUAAGACACUCCGCCGUGGGAGGUACGGUCGCGAGAUAAACGUACAAUAGAGUAGACGCGNGAGACGUGCGACGACGACGACGAGGGAGGAGG